rnacentral:misc_RNA from 1 species
ACACCCUCAAGCUCUGCUUGGUGUUGGGCGUCUGUCCCGCCUCCGUGCGCGGACUCGCCUCAAAGUCAUUGGCAGCGGUCUCGUCGGCUUCUCGCGCAGCACAUUUGCGCUUCUCGGAGCCCCGGCGGAUCAGCGUCCAGCAAGCAAUUUCAUGAC